rnacentral:rRNA from 1 species
GUGAGGAAUUUUCCGCAAUGGGCGAAAGCCUGACGGAGCAAUGCCGCGUGAAGGAUGAAGGCCUAUGGGUUGUAAACUUCUUUUCUCAGAAAAGAAUUAUGACGGUAUCUGAGGAAUAAGCAUCGGCUAACUCUGUGCCAGCAGCCGCGGUAAGACAGAGGAUGCAAGCGUUAUCCGGAAUGAUUGGGCGUAAAGCGUCUGUAGGUUGUUUAAAAAGUAUUCUGUCAAAGAUUAGGGCUUAACCCUAGAUAGGCAGAAUAAACUUUUAAGCUAGAGGUUGGUAGAGGCAGAGGGAAUUCCCGGUGGAGCGGUGAAAUGCGUAGAUAUCGGGAGGAACACCAAAGGCGAAGGCACUCUGCUGGGCCAAUACUAACACUGAGAGACGAAAGCGAGGGGAGCAAAUGGGAUUAGAUACCCUUGUAGUCC